rnacentral:rRNA from 1 species
CAUCAGCUCACGCUGAUUACGUCCCUGCCAUUUGUACACACCGCCCGUCGCUGUCCGGGACUGAGCUGUCUCGAGAGGACUGCGGACUGCUGUCGCGAGGCCUUCGGGUCGCGUUAUGGCGGGAAACAGUUCAAUCGCAAUGGCUUGAACCGGGUAAAAGUCGUAACAAGGUAUCUGUAGGUGAACCUGCAGAUGGAUCAUCG